rnacentral:rRNA from 1 species
GACGAACGCUGGCGGCGUGCUUAACACAUGCAAGUCGAACGGAAAGGCCUGCUUUCCCUUGUGGAUUGCGGGUACUCGAGUGGCGAACGGGUGAGUAACACGUGAGUGAUCUGCCCCCAACUUGGGUAUAAGCCUGGGAAACUGGGUCUAAUUCCCGAUAGGACUGCAGGGUGGUGCCUGUGGUGGAAAACGAUUUUCUAGUGGUUGGGGAUGAGCUCGCGGCCUAUCAGCUUGUUGGUGGGGUAAUGGCCUACCAAGGCGGCGACGGGUAGCCGGCCUGGGAGGGUGGACGGCCACAUUGGGACUGAGAUACGGCCCAGACUCCUACGGGAGGCAGCAGUGGGGAAUAUUGCACAAUGGGCGGAAGCCUGAUGCAGCGACGCCGCGUGGGGGAUGCCGGCCUUCGGGUUGUAAACUCCUUUCGACCGCGAGGAAGCCACCUGGUUGGAAGGGUGGUGACGGUAGUGGUAGAAGAAGCACCGGCUAACUACGUG